rnacentral:lncRNA from 1 species
UCUCACAUUUUUCCUACCAAACUCAUUGAUCGCUGCUGCCCCACAAAUUCCCUUCCAAAAAAGAACUAAUCGACCAAAUCUCGUAGUCCACCACAUCCAUCGUCCAUAUACUCAUUUCCAUAGAUCAACUUACACCGUUGGAUUAAAGUCAUGUGUCGUUAGAUUAAAAUGUGCAACCCUAAAUAGCUUUAUCUUUCUUUUCUAGUCCAUUUAUUCGCCGCCGCCGCCGCAACUCUCACCUCUCCUACAUCUCUACUUAUAACCACGACACCCACAGACACCCUUCUUCAUCCCACGCCUUCAUAGAUCAUCGCCGGAUCUCAUUCGAUUCUUUCUUGUCUCCAUAUCUAACUAGUUCUAGAGUCCGCCAUGGCCCCCACUACCUCCACCCCCUUCAAAUCUAGGGUUUGAGGCUACAAGCGGAGAGGGAUAAGUGGUGGAAACUUGAUGUCCAAAUCAAUCAUGAGCCCGGGGUACGGGCCAUGGAAUCACUUCAUCGAUCGAACACACGACGAAUCAGGUAAAUAUACAUGCUCAAUCAUAUCUCACACCGAAAACUCUCGAGAUAUGCAUCGCCCAAGACCAAGAAUAGUGCUCAUGACUUUAGCGUGGUCUAAAAUUGGGUCGCUAAAUUUUGCGAGAACAACACAGAUGUUGUCGUAGAAUUGACUUUUCUCUUAACCAUGGAUACCACCCGGACCUCAAUUUCUAGGUUUGACCUCUCUCUCUUUUUUUUCCUCGUCUGAGUCAUCCCCCAUCUAUCGUAUUCGUAUCUCUCUAGCUCCACCCAAACUAGUGGAGGGGUCAUACUGCUGACUUAUCACCUACUAGCUAGCAGUAGCAGGUGCUGACAACUAUGGUAGUGCUAUUUGAAUGGGCAAAUUAGGCGGCGGAUCCACACGUAUAUUUUCUUUCCCGAUAAGAGGACGAUGUAUCCUACUAGUAGUACUAGGGGCCGGUACUAUGGAGUGGACGUAGCAGCCAAUCCACGACUGGGAGUUGAUGGCAAUCGCAUGAGCCGAAUCAAUUACUAAAUCGGGAGAUCGUGGGCAGGAGGCGGCGUAUGACUUUUCCAAGAACUUUUUUUUUCCUGAUUUCUGAUGAUCCAAGACAUGAUUAAAGGUUGCUUGUACUACAUCCCAUCGGUGUGCAGAGGGCAAAUAGACAGAGAGGGAGAGAGGAAAGCGGACGAGUGAUGGUUGUCACUGUCUGUGUCUAUAGGCAACAACAAAACAACAAGGACGAAACUGAGCUGCCGCUCGCUCAGUCAGAAUGGUGCGAGUGCAAGUGGAAGGCAGCCCCGUCUCUGUUGCAACUUGGGUCAUGGUGGUGGGGGCCUGGGCUGCGGCCCAGCCGAGUCCAUUUCUGUUUGUCCUUGUUGCGCACCACGACACGUGCCUUCACGUGGGCUUAAAGUGGAGGCUGGGCUCUGUGACAGUGACGGCCGAAGGAGUUAGUAGCCCUCAACUACUGCUUAGUGUUUGUUUCUCACCACUCUCUCUCUAUCUCUUCCAAAGUACAACGCCACACGUACUGUUGACAGAUUAGAAGGGCUGCAAUCGCAGGUCAAUCAUGUCUGCUUAGGCCAGGCACCAUCUUUUAAUUUCACGUCUGACGAAGGACGGGGUCCCUUGCACUGCUGUUCAUGGUCUGUCCUUGGAUCCCAAAACACAUUUGACGCCCGGAAUUUCGGGUGACCAUCUCAAUUUAACUCCUGUUGUUCGCCUGUAGGACAUACCCAGCGCACCAAACGGUGGCUGGCUAGGCUAGCUACCUAGGUGACUGUUGAAGGCUUCUGCACCAGAUUGCCUCAUGACAACCCCUGCUUACUUUACUAAUGGGUAAGAUCAGCGAGUGUGUGUGGCAUUAGCAGUCUUUGUCGUCGUGCAGGUGCAGUUGAUGCUUAUUUUGGUUUGGCCUGUGAGCCAUCAUGCUUCGACGGGGAAGAGUGCCGCGCCGGUGUCUCCGCUUGCUAAUGAUGUUGCAAACGAUAUUCGUUGAUGAUUCGUUGAGUAAUUCUUAGAGCAGCUGCAGUCCAUGUUGAGGACGCUCGCUCAGCAAAACUCGGUCAACGGGUCAAACCUUUUGGCUUUUCUAAAAUCUCCCAGAUUAUAUAACAGUAUAACACUAGUUCAAAAUUUUCUAGAUUAUAUAAUCCGAACAUAUUAUAAUCCUAAACAAACACCCUACAUAUGUAUACCCAUAAUACAUUAUAUAUUUGAACAUUAAGCAGAGUAAUGAUCUAUCCUUUUUAUAGACUUCUCAAUGAAGUAUAAAAGAUUUCUUUAUCUACUCUGAACCAGUUCAUUAAGAAGACCAAAGAAGCAGAAACUAAUAUACCAUUAAGACCUUGGCGACGACUAGUUAUGUGUAUUCACAGAUGAAUGAUGGAAAAUUGUAUGCUGUUAGAUCCUUACACUAACCAUUUUAUCGUCAUUCAGAUUGUUGCAUUAUACUCCCUCCGUUCUUUUUUUAUUUGUCAUAUUUAGUUCAAAAAUAAACUAACGGGUGACAAAUAUUAGAGAACGGAUAUAGUAUAAUACAUCAAUUAGCUAGUCGCUGCUACUCCCUCCUCUAUUUGUAAGCUUUCUUCUACUUGGUUUGAACUGUUUUCACUUUUUGUUAAGUUUCUAAAUAAUAUCUGUAGGGGCUUCGGCCCUCCAGUUUUCUACAAAUAAAUAGGUCCAUGCCUCGUGAUUGAAAUUCUGGAAUUGGAGGAAUCCAUAGAGAGGAGGAAUCCCUUCUAUUCAAUUUUAAAUAGGAAAGAAAAAUUAAAUAGAAAUCCUAUGGAUCUCUUUCAAUUCCCUAGUCACCAAAUCAGCUCUAAAUUAUGGGUCAAUUUUUUUUAACUAAGGUAAUGGGUGCGAAGUUGGGAUAACACCAGAUGAAAAAUUCGCUCCACUGUAUUGCAAUUUGUGCCUCUGCCUUCUCAUUCACUUUCUUUCUCUUUGCUAGCACCCUCAAAAAUCAGAAGCUGGAACCCCUCUAGGCCCAUGGGAAGAUUGGAUGCUGAGAAGAGGAAGGCGAUCGAGGGUUUUGGGACUACUCAUCCAUGCAAUCAGGUAUACCAUCCUUGUGUUUUGAUCAUCCUCAUCCAAGAAACCCUAAACCUAAACAGCAUAUGUUGUGUUGAACAAACAUAGAUGUUUGGUGCGAAAAUCAGGUUUUGUUUGCAACAUCUAGAACUAAUAGUUAACUGCUAAAAUUUCAAAAACCAUCAUCUAAUACACCAGCUAAUUGUUAGUUAACUCAGCUCUAGGGGUUUCAAACGGGGGUUUAGUACCAUGCUUGUACACUGCAUUAUAGAAUAGCAACGCCUUACCGUUCAGGCACUAACCAAAAAAUGAGGGGGAGGGGAUCAUGUAGGCAGAAUUGCAUGGGCUAAUUUCCAAAGGUGAACGCAAAUUUGCACCUGCAAGAACGAACUAGAAACCAUAACAUUUCUCAACACAGCAACAGAUACUUUAAUUCUACCAAGAUUCAGUUCCAUAAACCAUUAAAAGCAUCACGGGUAAUUAAGUCUACCAAGAUCCAGUUUCAUAAACCAUUAAAAGCAUCACGGGGUUUAAAAGCAUCACGGGUGAUCACAACCUUCUCAAGUUCAGGCGCUGGCAAGUUUGUCAAGUAUGACCCUGCCGGGUUGAAAGAAACGAUUGUAAAGAAAUAGACUGGAGCAAUUCUAGCGAAUUCAUGUUCUCUAACCAUUCAGUUCAGAAAGCACAGGUUUCUACGGCCCUCAGCCGCCCGUCCCAUUCAGCUGGGCAGAGCUGAGCCUCCCAGGGCAGAAACUUGGCGCUAGCUGAUCAUGGCAGAGAACACAAAAUCCGCUCGCUCACAAUCUCCAUGCCUCUUACUUUCUGGUGCUCUUAGUCUUAGCCACCUUCACCUCCUCAUCGCGCUUCACCUUUUUCGCGGCCUUAAGCAGCAAGUUCGGUCCAUGGAACUCGCCACUCUUCAGGAUGUCUUCAUCGUAAUCCUUCCUGUGGAGCAUCAGUAUCCUCUUCUCCUUCUCCCUCCGCUCCUUGCAGGGUUCGCAGUCCCAAUGCCCCUUGGGCACCUUUCUUCUUGGAGGACUGAGGCAGUAGAGAUGAUAGCCCUGAUCGCAGCAGUCACACAGGAUGAUCUGGUCAUCGUCCGUGUCGCACAGGCAGACACGGCAGAGGCAAGAUGGACAGUACCAGCGCUGGCUGCCCAUCUGCACAUCACUUGCAAUCUGCUCGGUAGUCAGGCAACUAAUGUGGUAGUACUUGUACAGGCAAAGAUAGUGGUCACAGAUCAGGAACCUCUUGUCCACCUCUUCAGGUCCUCCACACACCUUGCAGCAGAUCAACAUAGCAGUACGGGACAGCUCCGGAAGUUCAGAGGGGUCCAUACUUCAGAUGCCUACAAGAGUGAUAACAUAACGCUGAGCAACGCAAAAAGUCUACCCAAACUGAGAUUUAUAGGCAGCUGAAAAAAAGAUUUGGUCAGUAAUGUUUGGUCCAUAAUCCAUCUGGCGAAACUGAAUAUCAAAAUUGAUCAGCCUUUUCACCAGGGGACCCAAAAUGUGCCAAUGGAACAAUACCAAAACAUGGACUAAAACAAUAUAUGUAAACAUUCAUCCUGAAGAAAUCAGGUGCAGAUGAAAGUAAGAUGCAACAAGAAACACUGGGUGAUCAAAUGCUUUCCAUUAUCCAGCUUAGAGCUGCAAGAUCAAUCCAGGGCGACAUUAAUCUAGUCGAGGAACAGGUUUUUUUCCUUUCUUUUUCUUUUUGGAAACUAAUCAAGCAGUAUAAAUGUCGAUUAUGUUAAUUAAUAAAGAAGAAGACCGCAAACAACGGCACCAGAGAAGAAAAAGAAAUGCUACAACUAAGGCAACUCAGCCAACAACAAAGGAACAUGUUUUUGUUUUGUGAAACAAUGAAAUUGCUGACCAACUCCAGAUAAAAUAAGCCACUAGGCAGACAAAAAAUAAAUAAAUAUGAUUCAUGAACUCCAUUCCCCCAGACAAAGCUAAUCCCUAUUUGAGUUAUUCUACUUCAACUAUCGAUUUCCAGAGAUCUGUUUCAUUCUGCCUUCUGAGCAAAACAUUUUGCUAACACGCAGGGGCGAAGCUAUGUUCAGGAGAGAGGAUGCACAUGCACCCAAGAAAAUUUACAAAAUCAAUGUUUUAGACCAGAUUUUGACCAUAUAUGCACCACCUAUAAAUCAUUGCUAUACACCCUCAAAGUAUGUGCACCCUCCUUUGAUUCAUUCUAGCUUCGCCAUUGCUAACAGGCACUGUUUCAUGUGCCCAGCUUGAACUCCCAAUUCCCCUUGCCUUCUAUAUAUUUUCUUUCCAUGAGUACCUUUCCACAAAGAUCUUCUGACAAAUUGUUACACUGAAAUAAGGCGGAUAGGUAAUCUAUAUCUAGUAAAACAAGUCUCCUUCCUUGCAAAAAACUUUGUGCAUCAAGAAUUUCCAUUCCACCAAUAAUAACUUUCUUGUUGACAAUGGCAUUCCAAGGCAAGUGAUUGGAGGGUGACCGUUAUUACAAUUGAAUUAACAUCUCUGCUCUUUGAUUAUCGUCCAACAAAAAUACAAAAAUACUUUUCAGAUAAUUUAUCUCCAUCUCAGACAUUAUUCUAUAUGCAUACAACAAAAAAAAUCCUAAUUCUGAAACAAAAAAAAAAUCAUCUUUAAAGAUUAGAAUAACCUUUGAAGCAAGGCCAGUCCAUUUGGAUCGAAUGGGGAAUUACUGCACUUUGUUGAGCUCUUCUCCCCAUAGCAGGUAACCCAGUACUACCAGACCAUCAGGGAAUCAAUCAGAUCUGGGCCCUACUCGAUUCUAUGGAGUGAAAAGUCAUAUGCCUUUCCUCAUCAAAAGAUAAAUAAGGAAAACAAUAUCAGAUACUUCUCGAUCUGUAAAAUCUGCAGUCAGCCUCAGCAGUUUUAAGUUUCUCUAUAGUUCACACUUCACACUACAAAUCCGGCUGUGCCCAAACAACUCUAUUCAACAGAGAAGCAUCGAAACUAGCAUGGAGCAAAAUCUGAAUUCCUUAAAUCUCCAACCUAAAACACUUAGCCGACCAAAAAGCCCCUGCUUCCCAAACGAUUCGCCAAGUUCGUUAAAGAUUUUGGGGGAAAACGAGGCCUAAACAACGGGAAGUAAGGGAAAUCAAUAGAAAAAACAUGGUUUUGGUGAGAACCUGUGCCUAGCCGCGCUCUGGGGAAGAUUGGCUGAGGGAGCUGCGUUUUGGGGGAGUGCAAGAGGAGCACGGUAUCCAGGGAAGAUGUGCGGGAGAGAGAUAUAUAUUGGAUACAGCUCAAGAGGGGAGGAACGCUCCUCCUUAAUUGUUCAAGGCAACGCUCCUGCCUUCUUCCAAAAAAAAGAGGGGAGGAUCCUGACAAAAUUCCAGCAAAGAUAGGUGUGAGAGUUUAUUGCUGCCUUCCUUUUCUGCUUGCCUUUUUUAUCUCCUCAAAAGAGUUGUGUUUGUGUUCUAUCCCCCGUAAAACACAAUUUGGAAAGUGUUUCUCAAAAAUUCUGAUGCAUGCAUUGACUCUCUUUUUUUUGUCACUAUCCUGGAUUUCUGUGUAUUCUUAUUUCCAUUGUAUUGAUAACUAAAAAAAUGAAGCCAUAGUUUGCCCAGGUAUAUGUUUGUGUUGCAACUCUGUAGGAAGAAGUAAAAAAUUGAUGAUAUUGAUUAGUACUUUAUAAACUCAAGGCAAAUAUAAGUUUCCAGUACGUUAUUUUCUUAGGCUGGAGAGCACUCUAAGGUUAGCCUUACUUUUCGUGGAAUGUAGUAUACUUUCGUUUCUUAAAAGUAAGAGGUUGCACAAGUUUUUACCAGCACACUACCACUUCUCAUCUUGGUUCAACUCUUCAUUCUCAUGAUGUAUGUGCCACUGGUACCUAAAAUAGCAGUUUGAAAAGGUUAUCUUUCACGAUCAGGACAACAACAAAAAAGAUAAAGAAGCUCUUGUGGUGAAUUAAAUUUUGUUUGUCUCAGUUUUUCUAAUAGGCCUUCCAUUUGUUUCACUUUCAAAUGCUAACUAUCUCAAGCGAUCUGAUGACAGAUUCUAAUCUAGCUGGCAAUCUCUUCAAACACUUGGAUGCAAUGUUUUUUCUGCAUUUUUAGUUGCAGCAGUAUCUAGGAGAAGUAUUUGUAUUUUUCCCCAUUUACCAUCAAUAAAAAAAUACCUCAUGACUCAUGAGUUACUGAUAGAAGUUGAAUGCAUAAUGGUAUAAUAGUUCGUGUGAUCCAGCAACAAAUUGUUGAAGAUAUUCAUAGGAUAGUACAGUUACAUAUUUAACUACAAGGGAACCUCAAAUGCUUAAGAACUCUUUUCCACUUCUAGUUCACAUUCUAUUUUCUUUUAGUUGUUAGAUUUAAUUUGUUUUCAUUAAAUUCCGGGUAUUUGAAAUAAUUGAUUUCCAAAUUUAUGGUCGGAUUUAUGUUAUACUUAUACUCUAAAGUUUUAUAUAAAAGUGAGGGCAAAUUUGCAAACAGAUGAUAAUAAGAGGGACAAUGAUGCAAGAGUAAGAACGUCUUUUUAUGGGCUGAGUUAACACCGUUAUGUGCUUAUAACGGAAUAGCAGCAAACGAAGGAUUUGUUUCAAAAAAGGGGGCAACGGUGCAAAUUCUGGAAAAAUAUGGGUAAAACGGAGUAAGAGUUAUGAGCAGGGGCAACCAUGCAAUAUUUUUGGGUACCUCUCCUGCCAGCACCAAAAGUUAAGAAACAGACAAAUGUUUUUUCAAAAAAAUAGUAAAUACAGAAGGCCAAGAUACUAAUUAAUUACUAACUUGUUGGGUUGGAAGUGCCAAAAAUGCUUGUGAGGUGUACAUUGCAUGCAUUAGCAGAAAACAGCCUAGAAUGUGACAAUGCCAAUCUGGAAUAUGCUAACUGCCUUAAAAGUUACCAGAGAAUAGACAUUCACAGAUGUUGUCAUCCUGUGACUGCCUUCUUGAACGGUCUUAUCCUCAGUUUCUUUUCAUCAUACUCCACUUCUGUCUCUUUUUUUGGGAAAUUGUGAGUUACUGUAAUGCUCAUGCUACUUCACUGGGCUUUUAGGAAAUCAUUAAACUGUUCUAAGUUAUUUGAUAUGGCAGAAUAUACAAAGGUGUCUUAAAUCCCAAUACAUAUAUACCUUUUCACGUUUUUUGUGCUGUUAUUUGAACUAUUUGCACAUGUAAUGUUCAAUAUGCAAUAUAUGUGAUGCAUGAAUCCCUGAUUUGACAUGUUAAGUAGAGUUGCCUCAACAAAUAGUUAUAAAUAAAUGCAAUAUAUGUCAAUCGUGUAGGUAGUUAGGUACCUAUUGAAAAUUCCAGUAAUGCCAAAAUUUGAUUGUUCUGUUCGUGGAAAUUUAUCAUUUUUUAGAGGUAGAUACAUUUCAGUUCACAUUGCUAGAGCUGGUAGGGUUUAACCGUAAAAGUGAGCAAUCUGCAGAAAAUGUUAGAAAUGUAUCAGCACAUGAACUCCAGUUUUCUUCCUCAGGACCAAAAAAAUAGACUCACAGGGUAUGAAUUAUGAUGGUUUUGAUACAUUUUGCAGGUUAUAGAAGUAAUUUUGUGUGUGUGUUUUUACAAUUUGACUUGCAGCAUGAACAUGUAAUGUCCAAAUGCCUCAAGAGAUUGUGCACAAGAUCAAGCUGCAUCAUAAGGUCUAUUCAGAUUGUAGAGCAUGCAUUUUAUGUAGUGGCAACGAAUAGAAGCCUAAGAAAAAAAGACAUGCUCAGGUUGUUGGCAUGCAUUUAUCACGAACAAAUGCUGAAGGAGUUAGGGUUAAUUUUAUGGCAAUAACUCCCUUUUGCAUUUGUUUUAUUUUGGUCAAGAAAAAUGAGCUUUUUUCACAUAGCCAAUUCAGGUAAAGAUGGUGGCAUAUACUCCCUCUGUCUCAAAUUAAAAUUCGUUUUAGGUAAUUAAUAGAUGCAUAGAAUAUGUGAUGUAUAUGUUUUAUAUAUGUGUCUAGAUUUAUUAUCAUCUAUUUGAAUAUAAACAUAAAAAUCAAGAGUUAGAAUGACUACUAUUCUGGGACGGAGGGAGUACAUUGCUAGGGAUGAGGAGCAAAAUAUAAGUUAACAUUUGUGUUUCUCCCAUUGCACAUAAUGCAAAUGUAUAGGGUUUGUUCUCAGUUCAAGUUUUUUAAAAAAAAUAGAACAGCAGAAGAUAAUAAUGAAAUAAGUAGAUUGUGUUCUCACGAGAGUUCUUGCCGAAUCAAGUUAAACUGUAAAGGAAGAUAUUACUGAACAGAACUGGCCAUAAAUACAGUGCCUUUAGUAUGUCAGCAUCUUGUGAACUAACAUAUCGGAUAUCGCAGAUAUAGUAAGGAAGAAACCAUGAAGUCCUCUCAGCUGCAAUGCGGUUGAAUAAGCAAGAGACGAUGUUCACUCUAUGAUGCAAACAAGAGUAAUGACCGAGCUUUGUGAUGCUCUUGGUCAAGAUACUAACGGCAGCCAGGUAAAAAAAACGAUACUAACGGCAGCCAGGUCAAAAAGAAACGAUACUAACGGCAGCUGCUCCUGUCCAGAACAGAGAUGGGGAACAAAGAAAAAAUAGGAAUAGACUUACACAAUUGCAACAUAGCUGCAGAUUGUGCUUGUUCCAGUAAUUAGCAGCAUAUAUUAUUUCUCAUCACGAGUGGUCAAUAUGUUCCGUUUCUAUCCCGCUCUUGAUGCUGUUCUGAAGGGUCAUUCUUAGCAGUUAGCACAGUCAGCCAUUCGCAAACUCGCAACAUGAACAUGUAAUGUAUGGAACACUGGUCCUUCAAGAAUUCUCAUUAAAGAUUUAAAGGCGUGUUUGAGAACAAAGAGAUUGAGUGCUUGUUCUGUUAGAGUGGAUUGAAA